GCUCCGGUGGCCUAGUGGUUAGAGCGUCCGCCUCGGAUGCGGGAGAUCGUGGGUUCAAGUCCCAGCCGAAUCA